AGAGUUUGAUCAUGGCUCAGAAUCAACGCUGGCGGCGUGCCUAACACAUGCAAGUCGAACGCGAAAGGGGAGCAAUCCCUGAGUAGAGUGGCAAACGGGUGAGUAACACGUGGGUGACCUGCCUUCGAGUGGGGGAUAACGUCCCGAAAGGGACGCUAAUACCGCAUGACAUCCUGCCUUUGAAGAGGCGGAAAUCAAAGCUGGGGAUCGCAAGACCUGGCGCUUGAAGAGGGGCCCGCGCCUGAUUAGCUAGUUGGUGGGGUAAUGGCUCACCAAGGCAACGAUCAGUAUCCGGCCUGAGAGGGCGGACGGACACACUGGGACUGAGACACGGCCCAGACUCCUACGGGAGGCAGCAGUGGGGAAUUGUUCGCAAUGGGCGCAAGCCUGACGACGCAACGCCGCGUGGAGGAUGAAGAUCUUCGGGUCGUAAACUCCUGUCGAGCGGGACGAAUGCUUUGCGGCUGAAUAAUCCGCAGAGGUGACGGUACCGCUAAAGGAAGCCCCGGCUAACUCCGUGCCAGCAGCCGCGGUAAUACGGGGGGGGCAAGCGUUGUUCGGAAUUACUGGGCGUAAAGGGCUCGUAGGUGGCCAAUUAAGUCAGACGUGAAAUCCCCAGGCUCAACCUGGGAACUGCGUCUGAUACUGGUUGGCCUGAAUUCGGGAGAGGGAUGCAGAAUUCCAGGUGUAGCGGUGAAAUGCGUAGAUAUCUGGAGGAAUACCGGUGGCGAAGGCGGCAUCCUGGACCGAGAUUGACACUGAGGAGCGAAAGCCAGGGGAGCAAACGGGAUUAGAUACCCCGGUAGUCCUGGCCCUAAACGAUGAAUGCUUGGUGUGACGGGUAUCGAUCCCUGUCGUGCCGAAGCUAACGCAUUAAGCAUUCCGCCU
rnacentral:rRNA from 1 species